rnacentral:rRNA from 1 species
UAGCAGCACCCCAAGUGGUAGCCGUUGUUAUUGGGCUUAAAGUGUUCGUAGCCGGCCGUGUAAGUCCGCUGUGAAAUCCACACGCUUAACGUGUGGGCGUGCAGCGGAUACUGCAUGGCUAGGGACCGGACGGCGUCGAGGCUAUUCCCGGAGUAGGAGUGAAAUCCUAAAAUUCCGGGAGGAGCACCUGUGGCGAAAGCGCUCGGCGAGUACGGAUCCGACGGUGAGGAACGAAAGCCAGGGGAGCAAA